CGGCAGAAGAAGCUAAUGGGACGAUUGUCACGGAUGUGUUUCAAAACAGUUGGUUCAAAUCACAGUUCAAGGCUAAUCAUGAUUUUCUGGAGGCUCAAAAAAUAUGCAGAUCAUUAAAUCUUAGUAAGGAUUUUGGAUACGACCUCCCCAGUUUUAUCAACAUGCGUGAGCUUAGAGAAUUCUCCACCAUGGCUUCUGGAGAGCUGAACAACAAUUUCAUUGCUUCUACAUACACCGACAACAAUACGGAGUACUGGUGUAAUUUGGCAAAAAAUAACGGGAGGAUUCUGAGAAUCAAUUCAAAAAGUUCUAACAAUUGGCCCGUGGACGUAAAUUUUGUUAAUUACGAUGAAUUUGAGACCCUGGUGCAGCCCAGUUUUCUGUAUAUGCCUAAAGGAAGCUUGAAGUUUGCAGCUGCAACGUUCAAUCAGUCACUUGGUGUUAACUUUUUUUACUGCAGACCUCAAUUAAACUACUAGCAAACGUUUCCUUCAGUUUGUGUAAUAUCGGCAUGUUUUCUCUUUUUGCGCUUUGAGUUCAAUAUUGUUUUGCCGAUUAGGAAAUAAUGUGGUCAGUAUGAAAUGGCACUCUAAAUGUUGCAAUCGUUUGUUAGUCACGUUCUAGUUCAGCUAUUCAUCGUGCGUGAUUCAGUGGUGUUGGGAACAUAUAAAAAACUAUUAUACGAACUGUUUAUCUCAUGUCAGCAUGGAGCUGCUGCUGGAAAUUUAUAGCUAUUGCUUAAUGUGAAAGAGUUGACUAACUGUAAAUGACGCUCGUAUUGGUCACAACUGCUUUAAUUUUUCAG